GGCGCACUUAGCUUUUAAGUGGGGGAGGGGGCAUAUACCCCCAUUGCUUCCCAAGUUCCGCGGCCCCUGGUCUGUACAACCAGUAUUCGGACACAAAACGUUCACAUAAAAUCACAUGAAAACCAGCAAAGCUUUUUUUAUUUUUAAUACUAGCUACUUGCAUGGUCUUAUUCAGACGGCGUGCUUCAUAUAUGAACUGCAAAAAUUUAGCAUCUUCAAGAUUUCAGCAAAUCAAAUUUUGACUAGAAAUACAUGCAUGCAGCAACCCCC